GACGAACGCUGGCGGCGUGCUUAACACAUGCAAGUCGAACGGAAAGGCCCUGCUUUUGUGGGGUGCUCGAGUGGCGAACGGGUGAGUAACACGUGAGUAACCUGCCCUUGACUUUGGGAUAACUUCAGGAAACUGGGGCUAAUACCGGAUAGGAGCUCCUGCUGCAUGGUGGGGGUUGGAAAGUUUCGGCGGUUGGGGAUGGACUCGCGGCUUAUCAGCUUGUUUGUGGGGUAGUGGCUUACCAAGGCUUUGACGGGUAGCCGGCCUGAGAGGGUGACCGGCCACAUUGGGACUGAGAUACGGCCCAGACUCCUACGGGAGGCAGCAGUGGGGAAUAUUGCACAAUGGGCGGAAGCCUGAUGCAGCAACGCCGCGUGCGGGAUAACGGCCUUCGGGUUGUAAACCGCUUUCGCCUGUGACGAUGCGUGAGUGACGGUAAUGGGUAAAGAAGCACCGGCUAACUACGUG
rnacentral:rRNA from 1 species